GGAGAAGAAAGCGUCUUUGAAUGUGUCUGCUUUCACCACUUCUUCACUAGAUUCCUCUGACGAUGAAAAAUAACUAACAUUAACAGGAAGUGCUGAUUUUUUAAGCCUCAUUUGCCUGGAGGGAAAUAACAAAGGUAUUUGGAAAGCACCCUCACUCUCAUCUAUUGGCUGGAUUCAUUGUCUCCACAACACCAAACAAUCUACUUUGCUAGAACCUUCCACUGAAAACACCUCACAGGUCUGUAUUCUGUCAUCAAAAUUCUGUACCUGCUUCCUGUCCAAUUCAUCACCUUCAAGAAAUCUCCAAGUGAGUCUAUCCAACUAAUAGCUUCUUUAUUCCAAAUUCCUUCCAAUGAUAAUAACAACAGCAC
rnacentral:lncRNA from 10 species